UGUGGUUUAAUUUGCAGCAACUUGAAGAACCUUAACAAAUGUUGACAUCCUUUGAAAACUCUAGAGAUAGAGCUUUCCCCUUCGGGGGGCAAAGUGACAGGUGGUGCAUGGUUGUCGUCAGCUCGUGUCGUGAGAUGUUGGGUUUAGUCCCGCAAAGAGCGCAUCCCUUAAGCUUAGUUGCCAGCAUUAAGUUGGGCACUGUAAGUUGACUGCCGGUGACAAACCGGAGGAAGGUGGGGAUGACGUCAAAUCAUCAGGCCCCUUAUGAUUUGGGCUACACAGUUGCUACAAUGGACAAUACAAAGGGCAGGUAAACCGCGAGGUCAUGCAAAUCCCAUAAAGUUGUUGUCAGUUCGGAUUGUAGUCUGCAAUUAGAGAACAUGAAGCCGGAAUCGCUAGUAAUCGCAGAUCAGCAUGAUACGGUGAAUACGUUCCCGGGUCUUGUACGCACCGCCCGUCACACCACGAGAGUUUGUAACACCCGAAGCCGGCGGAGUAACCAUUUAUGGAGCUAGCCGUCGAAGGUGGGACAAAUGAUUGGGGUGAAGUCGUACAAGGUAGCCUAUCGGAAGG
rnacentral:rRNA from 1 species